rnacentral:rRNA from 1 species
AAAACGACUCUCGGCAACGGAUAUCUAGGCUUUCGCAUCGAUGAAGAACGUAGCAAAAUGCGAUACUUGGUGUGAAUUGCAGAAUCCCGUGAACCAUCGAGUUUUUGAACGCAAGUUGCGCCCGAAGCCAUUAGGCUGAGGGCACGUCUGCCUGGGCGUCUC